UUUGGUGGCGAUGCGCUUGGGGGAAACACCCGUUCCCAUACCGAACACGAUGGUUAAGACCUAAGCGGCCGAUGGUACUUCACUGGAGACGGUGCGGGAGAGUAGGUGGCCGCCAAAU
rnacentral:rRNA from 1 species